CUAGUCCUGGGGGUAUUUCGGACGAUUCCACGUGAUAACGGAGGAUAACUCGAAGCUACUUUCGUCGAUAGACUCGCCAGGCGCUCUUUCUCCGCACGAGUCGCACAUCGAGUUGACCAGGAAUACCUGAAGCACGAAACGCAAUCCCUCGUGUCUAGUAAUCCAAGAAGCGGCGAGCGACCGGGACCCGGGCGACCUCGAAACCGGCGCCUGGGAGAGGGACCAGGGUGCAGCUCACCCGGAAAGCAGCGAUCGGCGUCUUCGGCAGCAUGGGGUACCAUGGCCGGGC